GGGGUGAUAGCUCAGUUGGGAGAGCGUACGACUGAAGUUAAACUUCGGUUAGAUAAUCGUAAGGUCGCUGGUUCGAUCCCGGCUCGCCCCA